rnacentral:rRNA from 1 species
UGGCACCUACGGGGCGCAGCAGUGGGGGAUAUUGGACAAUGGGGGAAACCCUGAUCCAGCGACGCCGCGUGAGUGAAGAAGUAUUUCGGUAUGUAAAGCUCUGUCAGCAGGGAAGAAAGAAAUGACGGUACCUGACCAAGAAGCCCCGGCUAACUACGUGCCAGCAGCCGCGGUAAUACGUAGGGGGCAAGCGUUAUCCGGAAUUACUGGGUGUAAAGGGAGCGUAGACGGCGAUGCAAGUCUGAAGUGAAAGGCGGGGGCCCAACCCCCGGACUGCUUUGGAAACUGUAUGGCUGGAGUGCAGG